UUUUUUUUUUUUUUUUUUUUUUGUCUUUUUGCCAUUUCUAGGGCCGCUCCCGUGGCAUAUGGAGGUUCCCAGGCUAGGGAUCCAAUCGGAGCUGUAGGCACCAGCCUACACCACAGCCACAGCAACGUGGGAUCCAAGCCGCAUAUGCGCCCUGCACCACAGCUCACGGCAACGCCAGAUCCUCAACCCACUGAGCAAGGCCAAGGAUCGAACCCACAACCUCAUGGUUCCUAGUUGGAUUCACCAACCAUGACAGGAACUCCAUGACUGCAAGUCUUUAUCAUGGUCUCCUAGCCCCCUGCUGCAAACCUUCACACACACACACACACACAUACACACACACACAGAGCACCUAUGUCCACUCCUGACCACCAGCCUGGAGAGUGACACUCUGCCCCUUCCUCCUUCCCCUCCCCUUUUGCAACCCAAAUACUCCACUCUCCAUAAAGAAGGAACUAUUACUUGCAUCUCAUUCCCAUCUGCUACAGACUAUGAUUAAUUAACACCCUUCAUUAUAAAAUCUCAACACAACAAAGUGAGACAAAGUCCCAGUGUCCCUCAUGACGGAUGUUUUAAACAUCUAUGCAUGUAACAAGGCUACAGAAUCAUCUACUUACUCAGCACACUGCCCACAUCACUCCAGGGCUGGGACCAAAUCUUCUUUGUAUGCCAGCCACACAAGGCCGUCCAUGAUAAAAGGGUCCCAUCCACUCCACUUCAUAGGUCUCUUGCCACCAGCCACCUAGCAUCGUGUCCCCAGUGUCUAUAUCCCCCUGCACACAUCAGGCUGCGCUCUGUGACUCACAAUGCUCCUGCUCACCUGUGCUCCUUCCUUAAUCAGCUCCAAUAGGACCCUCUCAAAAAGGAGGUGCCCCAGAGUUGGGUGCAAUGUCUCCAGGGCUACCACAGGCCCCGUGCACCUGCCUGAAAGCUCCAUUCUGUUUAGUAAUGAUUCCCUCUUCUUUAUCUCACUCUUCCAUCUCAUUAAGAACAGUACCUUAUUAAACUUUGUCUCUCUAGAAAUGAGCACACACCAUGACUGACAGCAUUCGAGCAACAAAUCCAUCCAUUCAUGAAUUCAAGCCACAGUGUUAACACCGAACAGAGAGAGGUAUCAGCCACGGUCUCUCUCUUACAAAUUUCUGACAUCACUGCAGGGCACAUUACUCCUAAAUACACUGUCAUCUGAUAAACCAACCAAGAGAAAAAGAAUGCAUUCAUUAUACAUCAGUCCUGAAACAGAUCAAAGACAAAAACAUGUCAUCUGGCCCAUGAGCAAAAAAGCAAGGAAUCUUGCAGCAAUAUGAUUUUCAAUUUGCAUAAAUUGUGCAAGUUUCUUUGAAGUCGAGUGAGAGUAAGGUAGAAUACAAUCAAGUUUAAAAUUUUGACACUCUGACUCUUUCUUCAGUGUACAAAAGCUUGGGGAAUUCAAGAAGAAGAAGUUGCUUUGCACAAACAAAAGCAAAUGCCUCAUCAGUGUGAGAAAUGUCAGUGGUCCCAACAGCAGAGUAGUUUCUCGUGUGCCUCCCUUCAUCCCACAGGACUUUAAAGUUAAAUGCUGAGCCCUUUUAGAAGGACAACUACUCAAAGAGAACAUAGUAGGGAGACCAAAUGGAUGCUUUGCAAUGUCUUAACUCAUGCCUACCAUGAAAUCAAAAGUCCCAUGAGCUAGGUUCCAACAGUCAGUGACUAUGAGGGGAGGCAGAUGCCUCUCUGGGACCCAGAGGCACCACUCCCUUUGAGGUCCUCUGAGGAGAUGUGGUGGUGUUACCUGAGCAUCCUAAGAGAAGGGCCCCCCAUCCCAGCCUCGCCAUGCUGGAUGCUGACCUUCAACCCUGCCAGCCUCACUCAUGUCCAGCCACAGGGCAGAGCGGCAGCCACUCAGCAGGGAAAUCUGUUCUACAACAGUGAGCCCCAACAAAAGAAUUCUAGACCAAGACACUGCUUUGUUCAAGCACAUAUUUUUGUUCACAGGAGCAGAAAUUGAGAUCCAUUUUCAACAACAAAGGGUCUCAAGAUUUUUAAACCUGAGCACCAAUAAUCCAAACACCAAAGCUAUAAUUCACACAUGCAACAAAAUUUUAACAGUUGGUCUUUUAAAAAAAAUUAGCUCAUUUUCAGGCUCCAUAUGCACAAGUUACCUUAAACUGGUAAGAACUGAACAUUUUAUACAUGUUUCAAUGCAAUACUUAUCCAAGAAUUCCUGCUUUCUCUAUAAAACAGGCAUGGUUAUAAUGUGAUAGGUCUGUAGCCCAAAUUCAUUCUUGAGCCUAUUAGGUUUGAUAAGACUUUUUACCCAUACUGAAACUCUACUAACUUUCCAUUUUAUUUCAGUUAAUGUUCCAUAAAGAAAAUUCCUGCUCUACUUACUACAAAUGAGAAACUGCAGUCACUACUUGGAACAUAGAUGAUUGGCAAAAAAAAAAAAAAUAAAGCGGGAGGGGGGGUCUCCUCAACUGCCAAUAUGAACAAAACCCUGCAAUUUUUAAGGCAAAUAACGGUGCUAGAUACAUCAUAAUAAACAAGGUCAGUAAAAGAUUGAGACUAACCCCUCCUUCCAGGGGAUUAGGAAGAAACCUUAAACACAGAAAAGAUAUUUACACGAUAGGAACAUUUUGUUCAUACCCACUGUUUCACGCAUCUACUCUGUCAGAGGCUGGAAGAUGCUGGGCAUAUAAAGAGAAACACUAGUUUUCAGGAUACUCACAAGCCAUGAAACUGUAUGCAAACUGACAUGCACACAUGCAAUUUUCUAUAGGGAGAAUAAAACUUAACAAAAGGGUGCACCAUCACCAAAAGAUGAAGAAUUGCUGAUACAGACAAUACAUGGUGGAGAGUUGCCAAGAAAUAUGUUACUUCCAAAUAAAGUGUUACCAAGAAAUGUUACUUUCCAAAUAAGAAAAGAGGAUUUUCCAUAGGCCUCAGAGGGGGCAGAGCUUCACAGGCCAAAGCUAAGAGAAAUGGUGUAGAGUGUUGGGAAAGGGAACUGGGGACCAAAACUGUGGCACAGCAUCAUUCCAGCAAGAACGUCGGACACUGCAGUGGCUGCUCAGGCAAGCUGGAAACACAUCACCGAGGGCAACACACAGUCUAAGAAUCAGACCACCAGGGCUCAAGUGCCACCGCUGUACAACCUUGACAUAUGGUAUCACCUAGUCCUGACGUAGGUAUGAAGAUUAAAUGAGAUAAUGAACAUAAACAGUGCUAAGCACAGCCCCUGGCAGCCAGCAAGGCUCCACAGCGAUCCCUGGAAUGCUGACCACCAUCACUGCUGUUUGACCCAAUGCCACUCCCCUAGGAAAGUCCAUCUAAAGGAGAGGUGGGCUCAAGGGCAGGACGCAUUGUAGGCUCCUGGCAUCACAGCACACUUCUCCCUUGUAUCUGACCUGAGGAUUUACCAGGACACUCUCAGCUUUCCUCCCCUUAUCACCUCCACCUGCUUCAACUUGGCUGCUAAGAGAAGGGUUGGCUGUUUGCCCCCACAGGACUCUACCAACUCCUCCUUCCAAAGUGUCCCAAAUUUUUGAACCAACUACAACUGGAGAAUAGAGACAAAUUAGGUCUAGAGGCUAUGUUGGCUAGGCAUUCAGUACCAAACACUAGAAACACAACUUAAAAGACAUAAACAAAAAGUGAUGUGUCCAGGGACAGAUGGUUCAAAAGAUGUGACAGCAAAACUCUCAUCCCAGCUCCACUUUCCUCUGUGUUCAUUCCAUCCUGUCUCUUGAUUGCUUCAGCCUAAGACCUGUGGCUGAUUCCCGCUGGCUGAUAACUCUGUCCAGGCCUGGGGAGAGUGCCCACACUUAACUCAGCUGCACGAGCAGUCACAAAAACCAAAAAUAAAGUGGGAAGUCUCCCAAAAGAAACUAAAAGUGUAAUGAACAGAAAACAUAGGGAAUGCAUGCUAGACAGGCACAAAUAACACAUAUCUGUCAAAGGAACAUAUGAUUAUAUUCAUGCCUUCAGGAAGCAUCAUGAUUCUUGGCAUUAUAUUCCCAUCUGUUUAUUUGAAUCUAUUAGAACUGUUCUGGCUAAAGUUGACCAAAGAAAAACAAAAAACAAAAAACCUAAAAGAUGUCUCAAUCAAAAAGAUAAUUUGUUAUGUGACUACAAAGACUGCAUUAGGAGAUAAAUCAUGGCUGGUCUAAUGAACAAAUCAUGAAAAUCAUUUCCUCCUAAGCCUAAUAUCCGACAUUCCAGUUACUCUUGGGGGUAAAGAUGGCCAUGUGCCCCAGUGCUCGACAUGAGCCAGUCUGCUGAGAGGCAUCUGCUUCCUGCCUAAUGGGAGCCCCUUUGUCCUAAAGUUGUGACAGCCAAGAAGUAACAAGCAUAAAGGGGCAGUUAGCAUAAGGAAAGUAGAUAAGCUUGAGCCUUAAUAACAUCACUGGGAAGCUGAGCCAAGAAAAAUGAGAAUAAAUCCCUACAUCAGCUGCUUCAAUUCAAUCCUGUUACUUGCAGCUGAGAGCAAUCCUAACUGGUCUGGCAGACCAGGGACCCAAGUUCUUUUCACCUUUCCUUACCAUGAUGUUCUUAUCAAAAGAGGGAGACAACUGUUGUAAAUGUCACAAUGAGAAGAAAUACAUGUCAAGUAAAGAGGAAAUGCUCUCCAGAAGUCCUUUAGCAGGUGUCUUGGCAUAUCUUGUGGGCCAGAACUACAUCAUAUGCUUAUACCUCAAUUCAAGUGGUAAGGAAAAUGGUAUUUCAAUGUUUUACUCCUGAAAUGGGAUCACUUUCUGAAGGAAAACAAAGUUUCUACUAAUAAGAAAAGUAUAAGGUGAACAGAUGCUUCUUAGGCAACUCACAAUGCCAAUUAUCAUAGCAAUUACUAGAUAGCAUUUUAAUAUUACUUUUCAUACAUACAUACAUGUCUCACAAAAGGGGAGAAACAAGGGUGACAACUUCUCAGUGUAUUUUUGCUGCUUCAGUGGGAUAAAAGCGAGUUAAUAUUUACCAUCUAAAAGCAUUAUUUUUUGAAUUUUUUAAAAAACUUUAUUACAUUUAUAAUUGUAAAGUGAUCAUCACAACCCAACUUUAUUGCAUUUCCACCCCAAACCCCCAGGGCAUGUCCCCACCCCCCAACCUGUCUCAUUUGGAAACCAUAAAUUUUUCAAAGUCUGUGAGUCAGGAUCUGUGCUUCAAAGAAGUUCACUGUGUCCUUUUUUUAGAUUCCACAUGUAAGUGAUAGCAUAUGAUGUUGGUGUCUCACUGUAUGACUGACUACACUUAGCAUGAUAAUUUCGAGGUCCAUCCAUGUUGCUGCAAAUGCUGUUAUUUCUUUCCUUUUAAUGGCUGAGUAAUGUUCCAUUGUGUAUAUGUACCACAUCUUCUUGAUUCACUCCUCUGUCGAUGGAUAUUUAGGUUGUUUCCAUGUCUUGGCUAUUGUAUAUAGUGCUGCAAAAAGCAUUAUUAAAUACAUAUGAGUACUAAGAAUAGCCCCAGAAAAUGUCAUAUAAUAAAAAUGUAUACAAAAGCUAACCAUUAAAGGCUGUUUAAAAACAUGGAAAAGAAGUGCCACAUAAAAAGUAUGUUGAAACGCUCAUACACUGCUGCUAAGAGGGUACAUUAGUACAGCCACUUUAGAAGGCAAUUUGGAAGUACCUACUAAAAUUUUAAGUGCCACAUACUCCAUGCCUCAAAUAUUUUACUUCUCAGUAUAUAUCCUGGAAAAA
rnacentral:lncRNA from 1 species